GAGUUUGAUCGUGGCUCAGGAUGAACGCUAGCUGGAGGCUUAAUACAUGCAAGUCGAGCGGGAUUGGGUAGCAAUACCCAUGAGAGCGGCGCACGGGUGAGUAACGCGUACACGACCUACCUUUGACUGGGGGAUAGCCCUGGGAAACUGGGAUUAAUACCGCAUAUAAUUCUGAUUAAUAAAGGAUUGGAAUGAAAGUUCAGGCGGUCAGAGAUGGGUGUGCGUCUGAUUAGCUAGUUGGUGAGGUAACGGCUCACCAAGGCGAUGAUCAGUAGGGGCGUGAGAGCGUGGUCCCCCACACGGGUACUGAGACACGGACCCGACUCCUACGGGAGGCAGCAGUAAGGAAUAUUGGUCAAUGGGGGAAACCCUGAACCAGCCAUCCAGCGUGCAGGAAGAAGGCCCUAUGGGUUGUAAACUGCUUUUGUCAGGGAAUAAACCUGUGGAUUUAUCCGCAGCUGAAGGUACCUGAAGAAUAAGCACCGGCUAACUCCGUGCCAGCAGCCGCAGUAAG
rnacentral:rRNA from 1 species